rnacentral:lncRNA from 1 species
GAUUGGGAGACAAAAAAAGGUCAACCGAAAAAAAGAAUAAGAUCUAUUAAUCACUCUAUACAAAGAUCAAAUAAAUCCCAAAUAUGAGAACCCUAAUCACAUCUCCUAAAACAAAUAGAAAAAUUAAACUUUAAUACCUUAUGAACCUUGGCUGACUACAACAACCGAAAGUAGCCGACAUUGCACUUGGUGUUUCGGCUUCGUUGUGAGGCCAAGAAGAGAAAGAAGAAGACAUACACCAAUCCCAAGAAGAUCAAGCAGAAAAAGAAGGUGAAAUUAGCUGUGUUGCAGUUUUACAAGGGAUGAUUCUGGGUAAGUGUAGAGGCUG